CAGGCUACCAAAUUCUAGAGAUGAUAACAUACUUGAGAGAGCACCCCAGAUCCGAUAAGGCUUUAGAAAAUGUACCUCCUGAACAAAAGGCAUAAAAAGUAUGCUUUUAAGGAAAGUGUUUUUAAAAGGUGCAAUCAGGUCAUUGUCUCAGUCCUUUUGACUUUCAGCAAUUUCUUUCACAUUAUCGCUUUGGACUCAGUAUCCUUUGGCUUCAAAACAUAAACAGGAGGUUAAGUGGUGGCAAACCUGUAGUUCUUCUUCACCAGGUCAGAUCAGAUGAUACUUUGUCAAGAAUCAAGCACAUUUCCCCUGCCUCUGAUGGUGGCAACUGUUCAUGUAGGGUUGUAGCAUUUGGUUGGAACCUACAUCCAGAAGCAGGGGUUCUGUGGCACACCAGAUAUUAUUGGACUCCAACUAACAUCAGCCAAAGCAAACACAACAGACAAUCAGGGGUGAUUGGAGUUGUAGUGUAACAAAAUGUGGAGGACGACUACAGAUUCCUGUUAUGAGCAUACAGUCCAAUGCAUCAUUGGAUGCAACAUCUGGAUUUAUUUAUUCAUUUUGUGGUUUGGAUUGGUAUGCAAUGUACACUUGAUCCAUGUGAAUAGCUAGCAGAGUCAGAAGUAGCUUAAGGUAACACAAGUUAGAAAGCAAAAAGUGGAGGCAAUGUUCCAAGGACAAUUAGGCAGAUACAGAGGCACUGCUGUUGCUAGAGACAUUUAGUCACUUAAUAGCUAUUGCCAAGCAAUCAGAAGAAGGAAUGUGAGACAUUUCCUGUAUUUUCCCUGAUGAAGAGAUGCCCUCCCAUCCAACAGGAGCAGCUUGCAGCAAGAAGUACAAGUUGUGGAACAAAGUGAUUGAAGCCUUGUGCCUUUAACAAAUUGUGCUUUGUGCCUGUCACAAAUUAAACAGGCUAAAUAUUUUCUCAUUUGGAAAUACAAUUAUGGGGAAAGUUUUGCCUCUUGAUGUUCUGUCUGUCAGACAUCUUAUUACUUAUGUGUGGCUCCUGAUUUUCUUUUGAACCCUAUACUUCAACACAACAGCUCAUAGCAUUCUGAAUUAUUAUAAUUUCCCUCAAGGAUCAAAUAUUUAUGAGUAUGAACUAAACUAGUUCCUUUUGUAAAAGGACUUGAGCUGGAUUCUUUUUUUUACCAGAAUAGUCAUGAACUAGAACUAGUUCUUUUCUUUUCUUAGAACUUUCCAAGUGCUUUCAGAGAACAGAGAAGUCAGAUGCAAUGACAAGCUACACUUGCUGAAAUUCCUUAUUGUAUACAGCUAUUAAAAGUGCAGAAUUCAUCUCCUCCUUUGCUACUAGCUACCCUAAGUGGGACCAACCUACUUGGUGGUGGUGGGGAGGAGAAUCCAUACAUAUACAUAUAAGGCCCCUUUUCAUGAAUUUUAUAUAUAUAUAUCAUUUGCAAAAAUGUUCUCAGAUGUGUUUUUUCAUGUAGUGUGCACAAAUGUCCACGAUGGACCCUCCAGAAGCUAUUUAGACUCCUGUCAGAGAAUCCCAUGUUGCAGUGUCCUCUGCAAACAGUGGCUGUUUGUAAUUGGUCUUGGUCCUCCGCAGACAUUUAUCCUCUAAUCACCAUUUUAUAUUGAGCGGUGCAUUGAAAAGUGUGGAGAUUAGAUCUACCCGGAGGCAAAGUGUUUUAGCUGUAAUGUCAGCAGGAAUAAUAGGGUGUGCUCUGUCAGUUUCUUGCAAUCCUAUGAAAGCCUUGCCAAAGAUGAGGAAAGCAUUUCAUCAAAAUAUGGGGGUAAGAUGAGAUCCAGAUACCUCUAGCCACAGAACAGGACCCUAGGUAGAGUGUAUUUCCAACGCUAUGACAGGAAAUGGCAUAUACAUCACUUGCUUACAUUUAUACUCCAUGAUUCACAGCUGUGUGAAUUAGGUGGAGACCUCAAUGGUGUUGUUAUGGACAGGGGGGAUUUCCUACCUAACGUGCCUGAUUGAUUGCUUCUGCUUGCAACAGCCCCAGCCUGAGUUCCAAAAGCUUUAGUUUUAAAAGGAUUGAAUUUCGAAAGGCUAGUUUAGCUUUGAUGCAGUUGAAGGAAACUGAGUCUCCUAUUUGACUUGUCCCCUUGAAUUCUUCCACUGGUAAGGGUUCCAUCAGAUGCUGCAGACAUAGAUAAGGAACACACAUUUGUGACCAAGGCACAGUUGAUCCCUUCUGGAAAGCAGUAGGUCACUGCUAGGAAGACAGCAUUUUGAUCUCUAUGAUAUUAGAAUGGCAGCUUCUGUAGGGAAGGGUGAAUCUGUGUCGGGGACCAGCUGGAUGAAGACGAGUGGUGGGAGCUGUGGGAUGUAAUCCAUUGGAGCAGUCAAAUACAACUUUCCUUGUUUCCCUAGAGUGGACACAGACAGGGAGAUGUUACUCCAGCCAGUGUAACUUCCUGGUACACCUGGUCUGGAGCAUCCUCCUCAUGCAUGGGACCAGGUAGAUGGGCAUGACCCUGGAAGACCCCAUAAAAGGGCUGGUCACACAGCCAUCUUCCAUUCUUCUUCCAUUUUCUUCUCUGGGACUGCAGCACAUGGGGUAAAUCCCACCUAUCUCUGUAAUUGUAACUACAACCUAAAGCCUGCCUUCAGGGAUCAUACUGUGAACUGAAUGUAAGCAAACUUCUUGUUACUUUGAAGGAAAGACUGUUGUGUCUUUAUUCUUUCUGAGAGGGAUCAAAGGGGACUUACCAGGAAUAAACCCAUUCUGGGCAUGGCAGACUAGAUUGCUUAACUAAAGAGAUUCAAAUGAAUCUGCAAACUAGCUUCCAGCUGGGAUUGAGGGGAAUGUGCUCUGCUACAUGACUCACUAUGGUAUUUGCCCGUUCUUUUGGAAGUGUCUGUACAAGGGGAGAGAGAGGGUUAAUAGGUAGACCAAUAGAAAAGCCCAGAGGCGGAGCCUACCUGUUUUUAAAAGGCUUAGCCAGAGGUUUAGACAGUUGGGGGGGGGAGAAGUUGGAAGACAGUUGGAAAUAGAAACAGUUAGUGCAGUUGGUUCUUUUGUGAGGGGAGGUAGAAGAGUUAGAGACAGGAUAAAAUAGGACUAAGAGGGUAAAGGGUGACAGCGUUUCGAAUGCAUUUAAAGUUUAUUUGUGUUUGCAAUAAACUACAAUCUUCGUUGUUAACUUGAGAACCCGACUAAGUGUUUUACCGGGGAGAACCUGGUUGGUGGCAGCGGAUUAGCGGUGUAUGGGUCAAUAGUCCGUGAAACGACCUGGAGCUCCGUACGAACGCCACACUCACUAGCGUGAGUGCGGAAGAAUAAUAUUUAAUCAGUAUAUCCCCUCCUACUAUCCACAACAUUCCCACAGGAACCUGCUCCCCAAGCAGGGAGCCAGUGUGGUGUAGUGGUUAAGAGCGGUAGACUCGUAAUCUGGGGAACCGGGUUCACGUCUCCGUUCCUCCACCUGCAGCUGCUGGGUGACCUUGGGCUAGUCACACUUCUUUGAAGUCUCUCAGCCCCACUCACCUCACAGAGUGUUUGUUGUGGGGGAGGAAGGGAAAGGAGAAUGUUAGCUGCUUUGAGACUACUUCGGGUAGUGAUAAGGCUGGAUAUCAAAUCCAAAGUCCUCCUCCUCCUCCUCCUCCUCCUCUUCUUCUUCUUCUUCUUCUUCUUCUUCUUCUUCUUCUUCUUCUUCCAAAGUUGGCACCUUAGAGCCUGGAGCCUGGUAGUGCAAACUGAGGAACAGUCAGUGGAAGGGGAUGAGCUGGGAGCUAAUAGAAGCAGGAGACUUGAGUGAUCAAGAGGGGGGCCAGGAGAAGGAGGGCGUUUCUGGACAGGAUUAGAAGCUGAGAGUCACAGCAUGUACAGAGACAGUCCCACUCCUGCUGACUCUUCUGCCCCUCUGACUCCCACUUGAAGAGGGUCCUGCACAUUGUGGAGCAACAACACCAGAGGAGACAGGCCCAAAGGAGGCCACCUCAUUGACGCAGCCUUGGUCUGCUUGGGAGGGAUACCAGAGUGCGAAGCUAGAGGGGAGGGACAUGCCUAGAGCUCAGUUUCAGCAAUGCCAUCGUUGAGUUAAGAUGAACCAGAGACUUUGCUGUCUUGUUGUUUUUCUGCUAAUAAAAAGCUAAUUGCCUUCCAUGUGUGUGCCUGCCCUGUGGAUUACCUGUCUCGUUGACAACUCCCUGACAAUCUGUCCGUUGCAGUUUCUCUCAACUUCUGUGUUUUCAGUCUUUUCAGUUCUCUAGGUUUCCACAUUAGUUUGCAUUUCUUUUUUUAAAAAAAGAAGACAGUCCUUAUGAGAAUUCAUUUGCAUCUUUAAAAAAAUUAUUAAAUAUUUGCAUUUUAAUAUCAGUGUCUCAUAAUAUACACACUUGUGUAAGCCAUUUCUGCAGUAUACAUUUUUGUAUAUUGUCUCCUAUUUUUCUGUUUUCCCUAAUAUGAUGCAUUUUGUCUGUUAUUUUCACUCACAUAUUAUGUAUUUUUGUAGACAUGACUUGGCUGGAGCACUGCAUUGCACAACUGGGAGGAGUGAGAAUUUCAAAGGACGGCUGCCUUUUGGUUCGCACAGUGUUUUGCAAAGUGCAAAUCAGGUUGGAAAGAAAGGUUAACCUAACGGAAUCAAAUUUCUCCAUCGUUCCUAAGCUUAUGCGAGCCACAUUGUAAUCAUAAGCUAGGUGGGCUCUGUUCUCUGUGGAACAUGCAUUUCAAAUAUUGUAAUUACGUGAGCUACGUUAUUUCAAGAAGAAUCACACUUCAAGCUGGGUAUUUGUCCUGCGCCCAAGUAAUUUGUCAAAGAAGCCAACCUCAGAUUUUUAUGUUUUUAAAAUAGGCUAAGCAUUUGAAUGUGCUUAUCUUUUAAUGUAAUGUUUGAAAGAUGAAUGAAAACAUAGCCUUGCUUUUAAUUCAAUGGCAUGGUGACUAAUUGGGGGCUGGAGGAGAGAGGAGUCCUCCUUUUUGUCUAGUGAUAUAUGUAAGACAGCUACUUCAAAUUAACAGGAAAUGUCACAUAAAUUAUCUUCUAUUAGGCUUUUGAGGCUGGAAACACAUGGGCAAGUAGGAGACUAUCUUGGUUAUAUAACAGGGAGGGUAAAAUCCAUUUGCUUCAAGAUGUGGAGUAUAGUCAGGAUAAUGGGCUUCACCUUCUGUUCCGGCUGCUGCCUAGCAUUUUAAAUUUGGCUAAAAUCUUGGAGCGAGAGAGAACACAUUUAAAUAAUUGCUAUGUCUGGAGGGAUGAGCACAUUAAUGAAUAGAUUAAAUGUAAUUAGGAUAAAUAAGAUGCUCGAGAUUACACAUUAAUGAUACUACACUUUUAUAAAUGGGGUUGUGGCUGAUAUUCACUUGUUCUGUAUAUGAACAGCUUGGUCCAAUGCUCUGUUUUGCUGCUGCAGCAGCAACAGCAGUCUUUGCUGGAGAGAAUGGCUUAAAAGCUCCAUACAAAGAAUAAGGCUGGGACAAUCCACAGUGCUGCAUAGGAAGAAUGAAGGUGCAUUUUAAAUGGCUUGAAAUUUGGAACAUCUUAAGUGCUGGCAGUGCCUACAGAUGCUGCUACUUUCCUCUUUAUCAAGGGCCCAGAAACCCACCUCGGGGCAGGUGAAAGAGCGUCUCCACCCCCAUCAUCCAGCUCCUAGGGCCUUCUGGCGGUUCCCUCGCUGUGAGAAGCCAAGUUACAGGGAACCAGGCAGAGGGCCUUCUCGGUAGUGUCACCCGCCCUGUGGAACAACCUCCCACCAGAUGUCAAAGAGAACAACAACUACCAGACUUUUAGAAGACAUCUGAAGGCAGUCCUGUUUAGGGAAGCUUUUAAUGUUUAAUAGACUAUUGUUUUUCAAUAUUCUGUUGGAAGCCACCCAGAGUGGCUGGGGAAACCCAGCCAGAUGGGUGGGGUAUAAAUAAUAAAUAAAUUAUUAUUAUUAUUAUUAUUAUUAUUAUUAUUAUUAAAAGAAAUGGUGAGGGCCCUCCUUAAUCUACUGGGCAACUCCCCCCCCCCACUGGGGAUGGGGUCACCAGUUUCAGAAUCUUCAGGGGCCAAAUGAUGCCCUGCACAUCAUUUCCACCAAACAGAAAGCUCUCUGGUGGCCUUCUCAUUGGGGCAAAUGGUUUGUGGAAACCUUGCUAGUCCUGGAAAAAGAUGCUCCAUGGCAGUCGAAGGACCACCUGCCAUUGCCUCAAGAUAGGUUUCUGGGCCCUUGAAGCAGGAGAACUGGGCACUAGCUCAAGGGAUGGAGGUACCUCAUCCCAAUAAAUAACACAGAAAUUUUCUAACCACAGUGAUCCAUAUCUGUCUUUUCAGAAGGACUAGAUUGUAAAGCCACCCUGAUAAAAGGAACUCAAGAGGAUAUGUGGUGGGAUUGUAAAAAGGUAAAAGCCUAUUGGGAAAUGAUAUAUAAUGAACUGAAGAAAAUAUUGAAAAUAACUUUUGUAAAAAAAACCCAGAAGCUUUCUUACUAGGUAUUUUUGGCCAAGACAUACCAAAAGAAAAGAGGACUUUAUUUAUGUAUGCUACUACAGCAGCAAGAAUGUUGAUUGCACAAAACUGGAAGACUGGAGAAAUACCAACUAAAGUCUCAGUCUCAGUCAGUUUUAUUGCACAUAGCCAAAGGCUGCCGCAAUGUACACAGAAUUAUUUGACAAUUAAAAGAAAAUAUACUGAAUUGGUAAAAAAAGACUUAAAACAUUUAUAUUAUUAUAACAUUACAUACUCUAAACAAAGCUAUAAAAGUACCCCAAUGUACAAAUAAAAACAUUAAACAAUAAAAUUCAUAAGCUAAAAUCAUCACAUGGUCACUAAUGUUAAAAACAAUAUCAAUUAAUACAGUGUGCAAUUUAUACUCAGAGUUUGGUGACAAAGAUAGAGCAUAGCCUGAGGUAGAUAGAUAGGAUCAAAUAAAUUCAUCUCCUUUACAGGUAAUGGCUACCUUGGCUAUAUAAUUUGCUCUAAUUUUCCUAGCAGCAGUUGCAAAAAGUGCUACGCGCCAGGUCACAUACUUAUCUGUGUCUGCAACGAGAUAUAACAUCAUAUCAAGGGGGUUCUGGCCAGGGGACCCUGUCAUUAUAGGUACCAAAAAUCUUUUUCUUGCAUCAUUAAUACCAACUAAAGAAUAAUGGCAAGAGAAGUUGAUGAACUAUGCAUAACUGGCAAAAAUGACAGACAGACUAAGAGAAAAAGACAACAGCGACUUUGAAAAAGAAUGGGAACCGUUUAUAUAAUACUUGCAGAAACAAAGAAAGUCGAUAGACUUGAUGGCAGGAUUUAAAUAAACAUUCACACUAUUAGUAUUAGAAAAUGUUUAGAAGAUAGAGAAAUAUUAUGGUGUAUUUAAUUUUACUUUUAUGUUUUUAGGUUUGGUGUUAUGUUAUUAAUAACUUUUUCUGCUAGGAGGUAGCAAAGUGGGUGAAAGGAGAAACAAACCAGAAGCGGAAGUUGGGGGAAGCCUAGGAGGGGAGGGAGGAAGGAAUACAUAAUAAAUGUUAAGAAUCUGAGAUGUAUGUAAUGAAUGAAGAAGAAAAAUGAAUAAUUUUUUUAUAUAUAAAAAAGAGGAUACGAAGGUGACAGAGAACAAAGCUCUCUUUGACCAUCACUCCAGCAUUACAGAUUUUUAAAAAUAAGCAUCAUGUUAUCUUGGGUGAACUGUGGACAAUGUUAAUGAUCUGCCGUGGCAAGGAUAUAUUAGAGAUCUAUCCAACAAGUUACCAGAGUGCUAGCUACUACACUUGUGCAAUAUCACAGGGCUUGCAUAUGAUCUGUCAUCUGCAUUGGGCUGGCAGUUGCCAUGACAAUAUUGAGUCACACCUGCCAAGGAGGGAAUCACUGUCCUUGCUGAGGCCACUUUGUUGAGGUGCAGAGGACUUUCAUCAUAUUUUGGCCUCUAUAGCAUCUUCCUUUGAGGCUUCCAUGGCAACCAUCAGCCAUGUACAGUGAUUCCAUCCACCCAGCUACAAGAUCUAAAAAUACACCACUACCUCUUCCAUAUCUCAAGCAUUAGUGAUUAGGUUAUUCCCACGCACAUGAAAAGUUUGGGCCAUAAGUGAAGAAUUUGGAUGUGCUAGGAGAGCUGGGAGGUUGCGGGACGGAGGGAGAGAGAGAGAGAGAGAGAGAGAGAGAGAGAGAGAGAGAAAGACUAAUUCUGAAGCCUGUCUCUUUUGUUUGCUGCAAACAAGAGCCUUUAAAAAACCCUUCGGUAGUCUAUCAAAUCAAAAGGAGCACAAAGCUACACUUGUAAGCAGAGAUUAAAGACAAAGUGUUCACAAGAAAGCGGAGAAGAGCGUACAAGUGAGACGGAAAGAGGGUCUUACAGUGAAGAUCAGGAAUCGUCAAUCAGACCAUGACAGCUCAGCGCUGAGACAGCCUGAAGGCUGAAUCUAGAAGUGAACCCAUUGAGAUAGGAACUGAAAGCCCACUUAUCUUGGUAGCUCUCCUUAUAAAAAUCUGGAGGGAAAAGCUGAAAGAGGUCAAAUGCUAGAAAACCUUCAGCUGCCUUCAAGUCACUGCACAAUGUACCAUAUGUUUUCUCUCCGUGUGUGUGUGUGUGUUUUAAGAAGUUUCAUUGACAGUAAGAACACACAUUCCAGCACAGUGCAGCAGCAUAAUAUGGAAGUGUCAGAUCAUGCCAGAUAUUGUAGAAACCAAAUGAAACGAAACUCCUCUGCGUCUCCUAAUUAUCAGUGUUUAUCAGUCGAUAGCGUUACUUUGAUUUUAUUCUAUGUUAAAGGCAGUCCCAAUGAGCAAAUACAGGGAGUGUGGCAAUUUUCUCAGUAAUGUAUGUUAUUAUUAUUUCUUUUUCUCCCCCCCCCCAAAAAAAAGUGAAUGGGAAGUUAUUGGACCACCGUUCCUCAGUUCAGGUUAACGGAAAGGGUGUAGUUUAUGUAGGAAACCAGCAUAAACUAUGCCAGCAUAAAUUACAGCAGUGUGAUUCACCCCUGUUCUAAACUCUGGAGGAGCUGGCCCAAGCCUGGUAGAGGAGAAGCAAGCCUUUAAAAUAGAGUUUGACUCAGUACACCACCCCUUUUGCCAGUGUAACUUAUGUUAGAUUUCUAGGUCAUGUGGCCAAGCUGAUUUUGGAAUACGGGUAACUUCUGCUGGUUUCCUAUAGUUUGGAUUUCUCUGUAGGUCACACAUUGUUCUUCUUGCAGAAUGAUUAGGAUCUGAGUCUCCUAUGAGUCCAACCUCAAGCAUGGGGAAGGCUUGUACUUUAUUGCUUCCUUUCCUCUUCUGACUGAUACUGAUACAGGGUUUCCUGUUCUGCAGUUUUCUCAUGGUUUCUUCACAUCAAACAAACAAGGCAACUGCAGCUCUAAAAAACCUGCAGCCUUUAACCAUCUCAUGAAGUUUAAAGCUAGCAUGAGAGCUUUUGCGUUUAGGCAAGAUCCCAUGGUUAAGUAUAAUAGUCUAAUUCACACAGAAAUGAAAACUGUUUAUGUAUUAAUGAAGGUUUAAAAGGGGGGAAAGUAUUGCUAACACUGGUGUUUUUCCACAAGAGUUUUUGUAAAGGACCCUGAGCUCUUGCUAUGUUAACGAUUAACUAACUGACUGUUGUUUUCUGAUUGCUAACAUGUGAAGGUUGUAAACAUGGAUUAUGUGAGAGGUAUUGGGUUGCAAUUUCCAUUUUGAAAAGAGUUGUUCUUUGGGGGGAAAAUUGCCCCCCAAACUUACUGGAGUGAAAAUGCAAACAGAGCCGUCUCUCUAAACACUCCAGGGUGAACACUGCAAGGAAAUGGCUCUCCUGAAGGGAGAGCAAAAAGCCUGGAGGCUGGAAUGCAGGCUGUGGAGAGAGAGAGAGAAAGAGAGAGAGAGAGAGAGAGAGAGAGAGAGAGAGAGA